CGGAGGGUGCAAGCGUUGUCCGGAUUUAUUGGGUUUAAAGGGUGCGUAGGCGGCCUUUUAAGUCAGUGGUGAAAUCCUCCAGCUUAACUGGAGAAAUGCCAUUGAUACUGAAAGGCUUGAGUACAGAUGAGGUAGGCGGAAUUGACAGUGUAGCGGUGAAAUGCAUAGAUAUUGUCAAGAACACCUAUUGCGAAGGCAGCUUACUAAGCUGUAACUGACGCUGAGGCACGAAAGUGUGGGGAUCAAACAGGAUUAGAUACCCUGGUAGUCCACACUGUAAACGAUGAUCACUCGAUGUUGGCGAUAUACAGUCAGCGUCCAAGCGAAAGCGUUAAGUGAUCCACCUGGGGAGUACGGUCGCAAGACUG
rnacentral:rRNA from 1 species